UGUACCCGCGGCAAGACGGAAAGACCCCGUGAACCUUUACUAUAGCUUGACACUGAACAUUGAGCCUUGAUGUGUAGGAUAGGUGGGAGGCUUUGAAGCGUGGACGCCAGUCUGCGUGGAGCCAACCUUGAAAUACCACCCUUUAAUGUUUGAUGUUCUAACGUGGGCCCCUAAUCGGGGUUGCGGACAGUGUCUGGUGGGUAGUUUGACUGGGGCGGUCUCCUCCCAAAGCGUAACGGAGGAGCACGAA
rnacentral:rRNA from 1 species